GAAUGGAUUAAGAGCUUGCUCUUAUGAAGUUAGCGGCGGACGGGUGAGUAACACGUGGGUAACCUGCCCAUAAGACUGGGAUAACUCCGGGAAACCGGGGCUAAUACCGGAUAACAUUUUGAACCGCAUGGUUCGAAAUUGAAAGGCGGCUUCGGCUGUCACUUAUGGAUGGACCCGCGUCGCAUUAGCUAGUUGGUGAGGUAACGGCUCACCAAGGCAACGAUGCGUAGCCGACCUGAGAGGGUGAUCGGCCACACUGGGACUGAGACACGGCCCAGACUCCUACGGGAGGCAGCAGUAGGGAAUCUUCCGCAAUGGACGAAAGUCUGACGGAGCAACGCCGCGUGAGUGAUGAAGGCUUUCGGGUCGUAAAACUCUGUUGUUAGGGAAGAACAAGUGCUAGUUGAAUAAGCUGGCACCUUGACGGUACCUAACCAGAAAGCCACGGCUAACUACGUGCCAGCAGCCGCGGUAAUACGUAGGUGGCAAGCGUUAUCCGGAAUUAUUGGGCGUAAAGCGCGCGCAGGUGGUUUCUUAAGUCUGAUGUGAAAGCCCACGGCUCAACCGUGGAGGGUCAUUGGAAACUGGGAGACUUGAGUGCAGAAGAGGAAAGUGGAAUUCCAUGUGUAGCGGUGAAAUGCGUAGAGA
rnacentral:rRNA from 1 species